GGGAAGGCGUUAAUGGCGAGCGGUACGUAUGAUCUGUCGAUCUAAUUUCUAAUCUCGAGUAGGGAGUGUAUUAUAUCGAUUUGAUCUGCGCUGGCGACAGAGGGUUGUAGUACUGCUACUGUACCGGGACUUCUCUUUGAAGAGGUAUGUAGGUGUUUAUGGUGGGCCAAAGCGUGUGGGCGCAGGUUCCAAGCACUUGCAGAGGUGGCUUGUGUCGCCAUAUCAAAUUUUAACCUCGCACACUAUUUUUUCAGGAAAUUCCAUUUUUGUUGAUGACUUGUGCAUAGAGGGGCAACCCCAUUGGAUACUAGCAAUGUGAUGCUUGGAUGAAAAAUAUCUUUGCAGUACUCUUACACGUGGAACAAGUUUUACCAGAUCAAGGGAAGAGGACUACAAAAAUAGCGAUGUGUGAUGACAAUGAUGGUCGGUUAUACUUUUGACUUCUCACAGUACAACAUUUGAACCUAUCUAUAUGGAGAAGGUUUUUAUUAAUGAAAAUCAUUCCUUGGCGACCCAGACCCGUAAGGAUCCGGAGUCGCACAUUGGCCCCUCUCCGGAUGACGAUACCCAAGUAAGGGUUUCCCGCUAGUUAUUCGACUAAACUAGAGCCAUAAUAGCAAGUGAU